GUUGUCGCUUGGGCAGCACAUAUACUGAAAUUGGAGCAGCACGGAGCAGGUUAGCAUGGGCCCCACACAAGCAUGGCGUGCAGAUUUGUGAAGUAUUACACGUUGAA
ensembl:snRNA U6 U6 spliceosomal RNA